rnacentral:rRNA from 1 species
GAUGAACGCUGGCGGCGUGCCUAAUACAUGCAAGUCGAGCGAACAGACGAGGAGCUUGCUCCUCUGACGUUAGCGGCGGACGGGUGAGGAACACGUGGAUAACCUACCUAUAAGACUGGGAUAACUUCGGGAAACCGGAGCUAAUACCGGAUAAUAUAUUGAACCGCAUGGUUCAAUAGUGAAAGACGGUUUUGCUGUCACUUAUAGAUGGAUCCGCGCCGCAUUAGCUAGUUGGUAAGCUAACGGCUUACCAAGGCAACGAUGCGUAGCCGACCUGAGAGGGUGAUCGGCCACACUGGAACUGAGACACGGUCCAGACUCCUACGGGAGGCAGCAGUAGGGAAUAUUGCGCAAUGGGCGAAAGCCUGACGGAGCAACGCCGCGUGAGUGAUGAAGGUCUUCGGAUCGUAAAACUCUGUUAUUAGGGAAGAACAAAUGUGUAAGUAACUAUGCACGUCUUGACGGUACCUAAACAGAAAGCCACGGCUAACUACGUG